rnacentral:rRNA from 1 species
UACGUAGGGGGCAAGCGUUGUCCGGAAUCACUGGGCGUAAAGCGCGCGCAGGCGGUCAUCUACGUCUGGGGUGGAAGCCCGGAGCUCAACUCCGGGAUUGCCUUGGAUACGGGAUGACUUGAGGAUCGGAGAGGCAAGGGGAAUUCCACGUGUAGCGGUGAAAUGCGUAGAGAUGUGGAGGAACACCUGUGGCGAAGGCGCCUUGCUGGCCGAUUUCUGACGCUGAGGCGCGAAAGCGUGGGGAGCAAACAGG